rnacentral:rRNA from 1 species
UGCGCAGGCGGCCUGGUAAGUCAGGGGUGAAAUAUGACGGCUCAACCGUCAAACUGCCCCUGAAACUGCCAGGCUUGAGUCCGGGAGAGGAAGGUGGAAUUCCUGGUGUAGCGGUGAAAUGCGUAAAUAUCAGGAGGAACACCGGUGGCGAAGGCGGCCUUCUGGCCCGGUACUUGACGCUCAGGCACGAAAGCCAGGGGAGCGAACA